ACCCGGCUGGCUCAGUCGAAAGAGCAUGCAACUCUUGAUUUUGGGGUCGUGAGUUCGAGUCUCAUGUUGGGUG
rnacentral:tRNA from 1 species